GGGUUGUGAGGUUAAGCGACUAAGCGUACACGGUGGAUGCCCUGGCAGUCAGAGGCGAUGAAGGACGUGCUAAUCUGCGAAAAGCGCCGGCGAGGUGAUAUGAACCCUUGACCCGGCGAUGUCCGAAUGGGGAAACCCAGUGCAAUCCGUUGCACUAUCGUUAACUGAAUACAUAGGUUAACGAGGCGAACCGGGGGAACUGAAACAUCUAAGUACCCCGAGGAAAAGAAAUCAACCGAGAUUCCCCCAGUAGCGGCGAGCGAACGGGGAGCAGCCCGGAGUCUGAAUCAGCUUGUGUGUUAGUGGAACGGUCUGGAAAGUCCGACGGUACAGGGUGAUAGUCCCGUACACGAAAGCACACAUGCUGUGAACUCGAAGAGUAGGGCGGGACACGUGGUAUCCUGUCUGAAUAUGGGGGGACCAUCCUCCAAGGCUAAAUACUCCUGACUGACCGAUAGUGAACCAGUACCGUGAGGGAAAGGCGAAAAGAACCCCGGCGAGGGGAGUGAAAAAGAACCUGAAACCGUGUACGUACAAGCAGUGGGAGCCUCUUUAUGGGGUGACUGCGUACCUUUUGUAUAAUGGGUCAGCGACUUAUAUUCUGUAGCAAGGUUAACCGUAUAGGGGAGCCGAAGGGAAACCGAGUCUUAACUGGGCGUUAAGUUGCAGGGUAUAGACCCGAAACCCGGUGAUCUAGCCAUGGGCAGGUUGAAGGUUGGGUAACACUAACUGGAGGACCGAACCGACUAAUGUUGAAAAAUUAGCGGAUGACCUGUGGCUGGGGGUGAAAGGCCAAUCAAACCGGGAGAUAGCUGGUUCUCCCCGAAAGCUAUUUAGGUAGCGCCUCGUGAACUCAUCUUCGGGGGUAGAGCACUGUUUCGGCUAGGGGGCCAUCCCGGCUUACCAACCCGAUGCAAACUACGAAUACCGAAGAAUGUUAUCACGGGAGACACACGGCGGGUGCUAACGUCCGUCGUGAAGAGGGAAACAACCCAGACCGCCAGCUAAGGUCCCAAAGUCAUGGUUAAGUGGGAAACGAUGUGGGAAGGCACAGACAGCCAGGAUGUUGGCUUAGAAGCAGCCAUCAUUUAAAGAAAGCGUAAUAGCUCACUGGUCGAGUCGGCCUGCGCGGAAGAUGUAACGGGGCUAAACCAUGCACCGAAGCUGCGGCAGCGACGCUUAUGCGUUGUUGGGUAGGGGAGCGUUCUGUAAGCCGUUGAAGGUGUGCUGUGAGGCAUGCUGGAGGUAUCAGAAGUGCGAAUGCUGACAUAAGUAACGAUAAAGCGGGUGAAAAGCCCGCUCGCCGGAAGACCAAGGGUUCCUGUCCAACGUUAAUCGGGGCAGGGUGAGUCGACCCCUAAGGCGAGGCCGAAAGGCGUAGUCGAUGGGAAACAGGUUAAUAUUCCUGUACUUGGUGUUACUGCGAAGGGGGGACGGAGAAGGCUAUGUCAGCCGGGCGACGGUUGUCCCGGUUUAAGCAUGUAGGCGGAGGUUCCAGGUAAAUCCGGUACCUUAUUAACGCUGAGGUGUGAUGACGAGGCACUACGGUGCUGAAGUGAUAAAUGCCCUGCUUCCAGGAAAAGCCUCUAAGCAUCAGGUAACACGAAAUCGUACCCCAAACCGACACAGGUGGUCAGGUAGAGAAUACCAAGGCGCUUGAGAGAACUCGGGUGAAGGAACUAGGCAAAAUGGUGCCGUAACUUCGGGAGAAGGCACGCUGAUGUGUAGGUGAAGCCCCUGCGGGCGGAGCUGAAAUCAGUCGAAGAUACCAGCUGGCUGCAACUGUUUAUUAAAAACACAGCACUGUGCAAACACGAAAGUGGACGUAUACGGUGUGACGCCUGCCCGGUGCCGGAAGGUUAAUUGAUGGGGUUAGCGGCAACGCGAAGCUCUUGAUCGAAGCCCCGGUAAACGGCGGCCGUAACUAUAACGGUCCUAAGGUAGCGAAAUUCCUUGUCGGGUAAGUUCCGACCUGCACGAAUGGCGUAAUGAUGGCCAGGCUGUCUCCACCCGAGACUCAGUGAAAUUGAACUCGCUGUGAAGAUGCAGUGUACCCGCGGCAAGACGGAAAGACCCCGUGAACCUUUACUAUAGCUUGACACUGAACACUGGUCCUUGAUGUGUAGGAUAGGUGGGAGGCUUUGAAGCGUGGACGCCAGUCUGCGUGGAGCCGCCCUUGAAAUACCACCCUUUAAUGGCUGGUGUUCUAACGUAGACCCGUGAUCCGGGUUGCGGACAGUGUCUGGUGGGUAGUUUGACUGGGGCGGUCUCCUCCCAAAGAGUAACGGAGGAGCACGAAGGUUGACACUGAACACUGGUCCUUGAUGUGUAGGAUAGGUGGGAGGCUUUGAAGCGUGGACGCCAGUCUGCGUGGAGCCAACCUUGAAAUACCACCCUUUAAUGGCUGGUGUUCUAACGUAGACCCGUAAUCCGGGUUGCGGACAGUGUCUGGUGGGUAGUUUGACUGGGGCGGUCUCCUCCCAAAGAGUAACGGAGGAGCACGAAGGUUGGCUAAUCCUGGUCGGACAUCAGGAGGUUAGUGCAAUGGCAUAAGCCAGCUUGACUGCGAGCGUGACGGCGCGAGCAGGUGCGAAAGCAGGUCAUAGUGAUCCGGUGGUUCUGAAUGGAAGGGCCAUCGCUCAACGGAUAAAAGGUACUCCGGGGAUAACAGGCUGAUACCGCCCAAGAGUUCAUAUCGACGGCGGUGUUUGGCACCUCGAUGUCGGCUCAUCACAUCCUGGGGCUGAAGUAGGUCCCAAGGGUAUGGCUGUUCGCCAUUUAAAGUGGUACGCGAGCUGGGUUUAGAACGUCGUGAGACAGUUCGGUCCCUAUCUGCCGUGGGCGCUGGAGAAUUGAGGGGGGCUGCUCCUAGUACGAGAGGACCGGAGUGGACGCAUCACUGGUGUUCGGGUUGUCAUGCCAAUGGCACUGCCCGGUAGCUAAAUGCGGAAGAGAUAAGUGCUGAAAGCAUCUAAGCACGAAACUUGCCCCGAGAUGAGUUCUCCCUGAGACUUUAAGUCUCCUGAAGGAACGUUGAAGACGACGACGUUGAUAGGUCGGGUGUGUAAGCGCAGCGAUGCGUUGAGCUAACCGAUACUAAUGAACCGUGAGGCUUAACCUUACAACGCCGAAGUCGGGUGUGUAAGCGCAGCGAUGCGUUGAGCUAACCGAUACUAAUGAACCGUGAGGCUUAACCUUACAACGCCGAAGC
rnacentral:rRNA from 1 species